UACGUAGGGAGCAAGCGUUGUUCGGAAUUACUGGGCGUAAAGGGCUCGUAGGCGGCCAACUAAGUCAUACGUGAAAUCCCUCGGCUUAACCGGGGAACUGCGUCUGAUACUGGAUGGCUUGAGUUUGGGAGAGGGAUGCGGAAUUCCAGGUGUAGCGGUGAAAUGCGUAGAUAUCUGGAGGAACACCGGUGGCGAAGGCGGCAUCCUGGACCAACACUGACGCUGAGGAGCGAAAGCCAGGGGAGCAAACGGG
rnacentral:rRNA from 1 species